AUUUCAAAAUUUUGACAAGUGUAUUUCUUUGGAUUACGAAAAUCAAAGAACAGAAAGAGAAAAAGGCUCGGGGGAAGUGACAAGUAAGACUCAUGCACAGAGCCUCAUUACUAUCGCCUAUCUAAACUUCCUCUUUGGAUUACUCUCUUUUUUCUCUGUCAAAUCAUUUUUAUUUCACUUUCACUUCCUGUUUUCUCUUUCACGGCUUCUUCACAGAACCGUACCUCACUGUUCUUGUCAUUUUUCAGAACUUCUUAGUAUCCAGUGAUGUAUAGGUCGGUGCAUGUAUGCCGAUCAGAGGCAGGAAAAGAACAAAUGGAAGACAGGGAGUACUUGCUUGAUGAAACAAGUAACUUUGAGGAAACUAGGUUUGCUCCAGUUAUCACAUUGUACAAAUUUGAUGUGUCUGCGCAGUUUGUAGGGAACCUAAAUGGUGUAUAGAAAUGCACGUUUGUGUAUGACUCCGAUCGUGAUCAAUCGACCUGAGUUGAUGCUAGUCCUAAAUGACUUUCAAUUGCUGAAAAUCCUAAGAUGGAGUUUAUACCAACAUUAACCAAUGAUCUGCGUGCUAUAUCUGAGUUGGCACUAAAUGUCGAAGAGGAAAGUGGAGGUAAAGAUAUUAAAAGCCAUCAGCCAGAAAAGAAAAGCUGUGUGCCUUUACUGGACCUUAACUCUCUCAGACUCGGAGACUGAAGAAAAUGACCAAAAUGUGUCAGAGAACAAGAAACGGAGGGCAGCAAAAACGGAAGAGAUAGCAAGACUCUCUUCAGAAGAUCUUGCCAAGUACUUUGACCUUCCAAUUGUUGAGGCUUCAAAAAUUUGAAGAUUGGAGUUAUAGUACUCAAAAAGAAAUUCAGGGAGUUCGGUAUCCCUCAAUGGCCAUGUCGGAAGAUCAAAUCUCUAGAUAGUCUCAUACUUGAUCUCCAGAAAGAGAUGCAACAACAACAGGAGGAAGAUGAGUUAGCAGCUAUCUCAAUUGAAGAGAGAAAGAAUGAUAGAAUGUGAAAGAGAAAGCAUUCAAAAGAAGCCCUUCAUGGACAUACCCGGAAGAAACAAAAAUGUUUAGACCAGUUAUCUUCAAGAGAAGAUAUAAAACCAGAGUCCUUGAGAACCGAUGUCGAAAGUUAUCGCUGUUAUAAAGUAUCAGACAUUAGAUAGUUAAAGGAGUACAUGAGAAAAUGUAUUUGUUAAAAAGGAAAACAUACUCAGCAAUCGAAAGCCACUGGGGACUAGCAUCAACACUGGUCGAUUGAUCGCGAUCGGAGGCAUACACAAACAUGCAUUUCCAUACACCAUUUAGGUUCCCUACAAACUGCGCAGACACAUCAAAUUUGUACAAUGUGAUAACUAGAGCAAACCUAGUUUCCUCAAAGUUACUGGUUUCAUGAAGCAAAUACUCCCUUUCUUCCAUUUGUUCAUUUCUUUCGUCUGAUCGGUAUACAUGCACCAAUCUAUACAUCACUGGAUACAGAAAGUUCUGGAAAAUGACAGGAGCUGUGAGGGUACGAUUAUGUGAAGAAGCCAUGGAUGAAAGAACAGAAACAGAAUCGCCUUUCUCUCUCUGCUAGUGGGAGUUACAAGGGUGUUUGCUUGGCUUCUGAACAAGAAUUGUUCAGCAAUAAGCUGAUAUUAGCUCCAUCUUUUGUGGUUCAAUCCCCACCACCUCAUUCUUCCCCUGAUGCUUGUGAUUUUGGCUCGGGAAAUACUACUGAGAAGCUGGCGAGGAGUAUAUGCAUCUCAAAGCACUCUUUGAAAUUGGAUGUAGCCAAUUGUUUGGCAUUUUUUCCUCCUAGAUGAUGAUGUUCAGGGGAAGAAGCUGUUACAUGCAGCCAUCAAUGUGCUGUUCGCAUUCCUGUUUCUGGAAGUUCUGGAGAUAGUAAUUCUGCAGAUGACCAAAUUGAAACUGGGGAUGCAAAACCUGCUUUACUUUGGAGUGCCUUGUACACUCAAGAACUUGCUAAGUUUCAGGAUGUACUGGAUAACAUCAUUUGUAGCCCAUGCCAGAUGGGAGUAUUACCAUGAUCUUCUGGGUGCUACAGAAAAGAUAUAUCGAGAGUUGUAUUCUGGUGAAGAAUUCUUUCCCAAGUCAACCUCGUCGGAGGAGGGUGCUGGCCAAGAGCUUGAGGACUAGACACCAAUAUUAAUGCUGCUGGACAUUUUUCGUUUUAGCUGACAAAAGGGCGGCUGAAUAAUACAUUUUACAUUGACGAUGACAACAAGAAUAUCGUUGAAGUGGGUUUUGUCCCUAUAUAUACCAUUAUUAAAGUGCUUAUACGAAACACUUUUGUUGUGGUAAGAGUAGCAUCUUUAGCCUUCGUUACUUUGGCUAAAGAUUUUGUUUAUUUGUUGCAAUUAUUUUUGGCGGUUCUACUGAGUGGUGGUUCGACCAACUAUGUUGUAUGGGGUGGAGUGUUGGCCAGUCAAGAACUCUCACAUUCAGAAGAUGAAAGUUGCAGAAAUGAGGAUGUUGUGAUGGUUGUGUGGGCUUACUAGGAGAGAUAGAUUAGAAAUGAAGAUAUUUGGGACAAGGUGGGAGUGACCUCAAUGGAGGAUAAGAUACGGGAAGCGAGACUGAUAUGGUUCGGCCAUGUGCAGAGGAGGUGUACGGGCACCUCGGUGCGGAGGUGUGAGGGGUUGGAUAUGAACGGUUUCAGGACAGGUAGAGUAAGGUCGAAGAAGUAUUAGGGAGAUGUGAUUAGACAGCACAAGGCGCAAGUCGAGGUUAUGGAGGACACUGAUUAGGGUAGAAGGUUAUUAGGUAGUUGAACGUUGUCCUACUUACCUUUUCAUACUAGUAGUCGUAGCAUUACUCUUGUAGUUUCUUGUCUUUCGAUUUUUGCUACUACAUGUUGUUUCUUGUAUUUCGGUUAUCGUAUUAAUUUGUUGUAGUGACAGCUA